CCUCUGAUAUGCUUAAAUUGGACGACUCUUCUUCAGAUGAGGAAGAGGAGGAUACUGGGAACAGUCAAGCAGCUGGCGAAGAGCAACAACAGCUUGAGAACCGGCGGCAGACUCGGGCCAACCAGGACGCAGAGCUUUC